ACUGCAGAGGUUUGAAUUUUAAAACUCAGUGUCACUUUGUCGUCCACGUGGCAGUCACCGACGAGUAACGACGCGCAUUGCGCACUUCCUUUCUCUCUUUCCCCUUUGUUUCUCUCUUUAACACACACUACUCUCCCUGCACUGCCGUCCAUUCUCUCCAGAACCUUCCCAUGCUCUGCUCGCCCCAGACCGGAAAAUCCGGUCUAAACUGGCUCGACCGCCUCCGCUCCAACAAGGGCAUCCCCACCGGCGACGAACCUGACCUCGAUUCCUUCCUCCUCUCGGCCCCUCCGCAAUCCCCGCAGGCCCGCCCCAAUGACCCGCCCCUUAACCCUCCCUCCGUGGCCCGCGACGAGCCCAUGCCCAUGAGCACCAUCCUCGCUGAGCUCUUCUGCAUGGGCGCCACCCUCUCCAAAACAAACAAGAAAUGCCCCAGGAAACAGACCAACCCUAAAAUCUUCCUCGCUUCCUCCGCCGCCGCCACCACCACCACCUCCUCUAAAUCCUCCGCCCCAGUCCCCGCCCCCGCCGCUCCCAGUAGCGACGCGUUGGUGCCGGAAGUGGAAGAUGAACCCGCCGCGGAUCGCGACGAGGACGAGGAGGAGGGGAACGAGUUGAAGGGGUUCACAAAGAGCGAGGUGACGGUAAUUGACACGAGUUGCCCCGGGUGGAAGGUGGACAAGUUCGUGUUCAGGAAGAACAACGUUUGGAAAGUCAGAGAGCGGAAACCUAAGAACAGGUUUCUCGCCAAGAGGAAAAGUAACUCCACUUUCGCACCUCGUGAAGUUGAUGUCAAUGCAAUUGAGAACUCCAAGGACAAUGUAAUCAACAUGAGAGGAGAGAAGCCUGUAAAGACACAAAAGGCCAUUUUGGUAAGAAGUAUGUGAAGAACAUGGAAAGGAAGGAGAUCUAUGUAACUAGACUAUAAGGUAGUUCGGAUAGGUUUUCCAAACAAAUCCAGAAAGGAAAAUACAUCUGUCAUUUUAAUAACAGCCACCUCUUUGUAAAAGAGCACAGGAAAAAGAACAAAGUUUAAGAAACCAAGAGUCAGAAAAUAAUUAAAGUCUUUACAGGUCAUUUAACUUGAAAUUUUAAGUUAGCUGCAGCAAGUUAAUGCAGGUUUCGCCUUUGUGCAAUUUGAUGGUGGCACUACUGAUCUAUCAUUGGCAUUUAUCAAUUAAAAACUACGAUGUCCUCUUGGAAAGAGCUUGGUUUUGGAGUUCUAAACAUGCAUUGUAGUGUCAAAACAUUAGCCUUUGUAAAUUUCGGUUCUAUUUUUCCUAAAUUGAAAUAUUUUUUUCUUCAAUAUAUUACUAUAUUUGCAGCCGUGAGUUGCUUUUCUUU